rnacentral:rRNA from 1 species
UCGGGAAUUUUGGGCAAUGGGCGAAAGCCUGACCCAGCAACGCCGCGUGAAGGAUGAAGUAUUUCGGUAUGUAAACUUCGAAAGAAUAGGAAGAAUAAAUGACGGUACUAUUUAUAAGGUCCGGCUAACUACGUGCCAGCAGCCGCGGUAAUACGUAGGGACCAAGCGUUGUUCGGAUUUACUGGGCGUAAAGGGCGCGUAGGCGGCAAUUCAAGUCAUCUCUGAAAUCUCCGGGCUUAACUCGGAACGGUCAGAUGAUACUGCUUUGCUAGAGUGCAGAAGGGGCAAUCGGAAUUCUUGGUGUAGCGGUGAAAUGCGUAGAUAUCAAGAGGAACACCUGAGGUGAAGACGGGUUGCUGGGCUGACACUGACGCUGAGGCGCGAAAGCCAGGGGAGCAAACGGGAUUAGAUACCCCCGUAGUCCCUGAGCGGGCUGGCAAGGCGCAU